rnacentral:rRNA from 1 species
AUGAACGCUGGCGGCGUGCCUAAUACAUGCAAGUCGAGCGAACGGACGAGAAGCUUGCUUCUCUGAUGUUAGCGGCGGACGGGUGAGUAACACGUGGAUAACCUACCUAUAAGACUGGGAUAACUUCGGGAAACCGGAGCUAAUACCGGAUGAUAUUUUGAACCGCAUGGUUCAAAAGUGAAAGACGGUCUUGCUGUCACUUAUAGAUGGAUCCGCGCUGCAUUAGCUAGUUGGUAAGGUAACGGCUUACCAAGGCAACGAUGCAUAGCCGACCUGAGAGGGUGAUCGGCCACACUGGAACUGAGACACGGUCCAGACUCCUACGGGAGGCAGCAGUAGGGAAUCUUCCGCAAUGGGCGAAAGCCUGACGGAGCAACGCCGCGUGAGUGAUGAAGGUCUUCGGAUCGUAAAACUCUGUUAUUAGGGAAGAACAUAUGUGUAAGUAACUGUACACAUCUUGACGGUACCUAAUCAGAAAGCCACGGCUAACUACGUG